rnacentral:rRNA from 1 species
UACGUAGGGUGCGAGCGUUAAUCGGAAUUACUGGGCGUAAAGCGUGCGCAGGCGGUUUUGUAAGCCGGAUGUGAAAUCCCCGGGCUUAACCUGGGAAUGGCAUUCGGGACUGCAAGGCUGGAGUGCGGCAGAGGAGACUGGAAUUCCUGGUGUAGCAGUGAAAUGCGUAGAUAUCGGGAGGAACACCAGUGGCGAAGGCGGCGCCUGGACGGACACUGACGCUGAGACGCGAAAGCGUGGGGAGCAAACAGGG